rnacentral:rRNA from 1 species
AUUGAACGCUGGCGGCAGGCCUAACACAUGCAAGUCGAGCGGAGCGGCGGACGGGUGAGUAGUGCCUAGGAAUCUGCCUGGUAGUGGGGGAUAACGUCCGGAAACGGGCGCUAAUACCGCAUACUAUCAGAUGAGCCUAGGUCGGAUUAGCUAGUUGGUGGGGUAAAGGCCUACCAAGGCGACGAUCCGUAACUGGUCUGAGAGGAUGAUCAGUCACACGGGAAUGGAGAAAGGGCCAAGACUCUGAGGGGAGGCAGAAGUGGGGAAUAUUGGACAAUGGGCGAAAGCCGGAUCCAGCCAUGCCGGGGGUGGGAAGAAGGUCUUCGGAUGGUAAAGCACUUUAAGUUGGGAGGCGUUACCAACAGAAUAAGCACCGGCUAACUUCGUGCCAGCAGCCGCGGUAAUAC